GACGUAGGACGCGAGCGUUGUCCGGAUUUAUUGGGCGUAAAGAGCGCGCAGGCGGUCGUUCAAGUCGCGUGUGAAAGCCCCCGGCUCAACUGGGGAGGGUCACGCGAUACUGAUCGACUCGAAGGCAGGAGAGGGAAGUGGAAUUCCCGGUGUAGUGGUGAAAUGCGUAGAUAUCGGGAGGAACACCAGUGGCGAAGGCGACUUCCUGGCCUGUUCUUGACGCUGAGGCGCGAAAGCUAGGGGAGCAAACGGG
rnacentral:rRNA from 1 species